UACGUAGGCAGCGAGCGUUGUUCGGAGUUACUGGGCGUAAAGAGUGCGUAGGCGGUUUUCUAAGUUUGGUGUGAAAUCUCCCGGCUUAACUGGGAGGGUGCGCCGAAGACUGGAAGGCUUGAGUAUGGGAGAGGUAAGCGGAAUUCCUGGUGUAGCGGUGAAAUGCGUAGAUAUCAAGCAGAACACCUGCGGCGAAGGCGGCCUUCUGGACGAUGACUGACGCUGAGACGCGAAAGCGUGGGGAGCAAACAGG
rnacentral:rRNA from 1 species